rnacentral:rRNA from 1 species
AUUGAACGCUGGCGGCAUGCCUUACACAUGCAAGUCGAACGGUAACGCGGGGGCAACCCUGGCGACGAGUGGCGAACGGGUGAGUAAUACAUCGGAACGUACCCAGUAGUGGGGGAUAGCUCGGCGAAAGCCGGAUUAAUACCGCAUACGACCUAUGGGUGAAAGCGGGGGAUCGCAAGACCUCGCGCUAUUGGAGCGGCCGAUGUCGGAUUAGCUAGUUGGUGAGGUAAAGGCNCACCAAGGCUACGACCCGUAGCUGGUCUGAGAGGACGACCAGCCACACUGGGACUGAGACACGGCCCAGACUCCUACGGGAGGCAGCAGUGGGGAAUUUUGGACAAUGGGCGCAAGCCUGAUCCAGCCAUGCCGCGUGUGUGAAGAAGGCC